AUUGAACGCUGGCGGCAGGCUUAACACAUGCAAGUCGAGCGGGGAAAGGUAGCUUGCUACCUGACCUAGCGGCGGACGGGUGAGUAAUGCUUAGGAAUCUGCCUAUUAGUGGGGGACAACAUCUCGAAAGGGAUGCUAAUACCGCAUACGUCCUACGAGAGAAAGCAGGGGACCUUCGGGCCUUGCGCUAAUAGAUGAGCCUAAGUCGGAUUAGCUAGUUGGUGGGGUAAAGGCCUACCAAGGCGACGAUCUGUAGCGGGUCUGAGAGGAUGAUCCGCCACACUGGGACUGAGACACGGCCCAGACUCCUACGGGAGGCAGCAGUGGGGAAUAUUGGACAAUGGGGGGAACCCUGAUCCAGCCAUGCCGCGUGUGUGAAGAAGGCCUUUUGGUUGUAAAGCACUUUAAGCGAGGAGGAGGCUACCGAGAUUAAUACUCUUGGAUAGUGGACGUUACUCGCAGAAUAAGCACCGGCUAACUCUGUGCCAGCAGCCGCCGUAACAC
rnacentral:rRNA from 1 species